GAAUAGCUUUCCCGAUACUGGACCUUCACACACGAAUAGCUUUCCCUUUCACCUGACCGGACCUGGCUUCUCCGAUCCUCUGCCCCUCCACACAUGAAUAGCUUUCCCUUUCACCUGACCGGACCUGGCUUCUCCGAUCACGAAUACCUUUCCCUUUCACCUGACCGGACCUGGCUUCUCCGAUUCUCUGCCCCUCCACACACGAAUAGCUUUCCCUUUCACCAUACCGGACCCUGGCUUCUCCGAUUCUCUGCCCCUCCACACACGAAUAGCUUUCCCUUUCACCUGACCGGACCUGGGUUCUCUGAUUCUCUGCCCCUCCACACACGAAUAGCUUUCCCUUUCACCAUACCGGACCCUGGCUUCUCCGAUUCUCUGCCAUUUCUUUUCCACGGCAAGACCCACGGCAAGACCUAACGAUCCUUUCACGAUACCGGACAUGCCUUCUCCGAUUAUCUGUCAUUUUUUUUCCACGGCAAGACCCACCGAUCCGACCCAACAGACCGAUCCUCUACCUCUCCCUUUCCACGGCAACACCCAACAGCCCGAUACCGAUCCGACCCAACAGACCCAAAUCCAAUUCGCUCAAUUUCCACUCUUCCCCAGCCCAUCGCUCAAUGCAACCGACCCAGCCCGUCGAGACCGGCCCAAAGGUUUUUUUAUCAGAACCACAUGCACACAGAGAUAUAGUUUGGAAGGCACAAAGAGAGAGGCCGCAUACCCAUUACCCCAUAAUCGUGUACAACUUGAAAAGUGUUACUUUUGUUAGGAGCCCGAUGAAGUCAUCCUUCCUGUGCAAAUAGAAAAUCUUAAAGGAAAACAAUUUGUUUUCCAAAUACAACUAAAUAACUAUAAUCUCAACUAUGGAUGGGAAUUCUUCACUAUCAAGAAACUUUUUUACUCUUUUGAAGAAACUGACAAAGCAAUUCAGCUUGAUAAAAUGACAGAAGUUUACAUCAGUGAUACUUCAAAUGAAGAAGAUGGUGAUUGUACAACAUUUCAAAAACUUGAUGUUCAAACCAAGGUGCAGCUCACACCAACAUCUGUACUCAAGGAAAACAAAAGGGCAUAUUCAGGGACUACUACAAAGCAACAAAGGAAGAAGAUACAAAAAACACUUUAAAGUUGUCUUUCUAUCUCUAAGAUUUUCUAUGCACAAUUUGGUUUUAAUGAAUUUGUGAUUUUGAUACUAAAGACAUAUUGGAAAGGAAAUUUUGUUGCUUUUAUGCACAA